UCGAGUUUGGAUUCUUGCUUGGGAGUGCCCGAAAACACAUUGGGUUCGUAAUUUCUAGCAUUUAAUUGGAUUGAGUCUAUUUUAUUUUGGUCACAUUGAGUCCUUUUAUUUUGGGUUUAUUUGAGUUCUUAUUUUGGGUUUGCAAUUUGCUGAUUUAUGUUUGUAAUUGAAUGCCAAGUGGCAUCAAAAGAGUCCAUGUUAUGCAAGGAUUGAGUCAAGUCAUAUUGGGUCAUGUGUGGAGAAUUUAGUUUAGUCGUAUGAGUCAAAUUGAGUCCUUAU
rnacentral:lncRNA from 1 species